UACGGAGGGCGCUAGCGUUGUUCGGAAUUACUGGGCGUAAAGCGCACGUAGGCGGCUUUGUAAGUUAGAGGUGAAAGCCUGGAGCUCAACUCCAGAAUUGCCUUUAAGACUGCAUCGCUUGAAUCAUGGAGAGGCGGGUGGAAUUCCGAGUGUAGAGGUGAAAUUCGUAGAUAUUCGGAAGAACACCAGUGGCGAAGGCGGCCCGCUGGACAUGUAUUGACGCUGAGGUGCGAAAGCGUGGGGAGCAAACAGG
rnacentral:rRNA from 1 species